rnacentral:lncRNA from 1 species
UUUUAUUUUGUUUUCUCGAAACCCCUAUGUGGGUGUGUGCAUUUCGUUUGAGGGUUGCUAUUUAAAAAUGAGUAAAACCCUUAAUUUAUUUUUCUCUGUUAUCUGGCGCCAUCUGGGCGGGCUACCUCCUUCCCCUGGACCAUCUCCUUCUUUCCUCGCGCGCAGCCUACCCCACUACUGUCUCCCUCCUCGGGCUGUCGUCACUGCGUACGACCGAAGCUCCACCAUCGAUCCUUCCCCCCCUUCGAUAUUGCGGUUCCAAGCGCGCCUCCCGAGGCCAUUUAAGCAGCCAGGCAGCGUCCUAGCAAACCUAGGGCUCCAUUUUCCUC